AUACAGAAGGAGAAAAAAGAGAGAGAUGGAGGCAUUUUUGUGUCCCAACUUGGGCAGGUGAAACUUGAAACUUUUACUUUUAGUUCAUGACAGGAAAACUUCCCUACACGGAGUUCCCUGGUGGCACAGCAGGUUAAGGACCCAGUGCUGUCACUGCUAUGGCUUGAGUUGGAUCCCUGGCCCUAGAACAACUCUGCAUGCUUUGGGCAUGGCCAACAAAAUAAAACAAACAACAAAACAAAACAAAAAACAGAAACAGAAGAAAUUCCCUCCAGCAGGGGACUGACCCAGAUCCCAGUGGCAGCAGGGUGACAUCAUACCUAAACAUCAAUCCGAUGGAACAGGAAGGAUUUGAGAUCUAUAACCAAAUUACUACCUUGGAACUUUGUGCUUGUUAUGCUAAUAUAAGGACUUCCGUACUACAAGUAUGUUUUCAGAGCUGGAAAUUAGCUUUUUAGAAUGCUUUGUGUAAUGACAGACAUUGGACAGAGGAGACAAAUGUGCCAGCAAUGGUGGUACAAUACUCCUGGCAAACACCCUGGACUAUUUUAACAGAUAAAUGGACACCCAGAUAGUAUGUUCAUAAAAUUAAUCUGAGAGCAAGCUCGGGGGACUGGGUGAGAAAACAGGUGCUGCCAGAUCACUGCCGUGGUGAAGGUGCUCUUGCAACCCCCCACCUUUUCUUUCAGACUUAGUUGAUUAGCACCAUCCAUUUCUUGUCCCUCCGGGUAGAUAGAUGCCUAGGGAGAAACAUAAGAGAAAAGCAUUUCUUUUUUCUUUCUCAUGUGUCUUUUUAGGGCCGCACCUGUGGCAUAUGGAAGUUCCCAGGCUAGGGGUCAAAUCUGAGCUGCAGCUGCCAGCCUGCACCACAGUCACAGUCACAGCCACAGCCACAGCCACAACAACACAGGAUCAGAGUGAAGUCUGUGACCUACAGCACAGCUAAUGUCAAUGCAGGAUCCUUAACCCACUGAGCUAGGCCAGGGAUUGAGCCCGAAACCUCACAGAUACUAGUCGGGUUCAUUACUGCUGAGCCACAUUGGGAACUAAAUAGAGAAGUAUUUCAUAAAUAGUACUGCAAACACACUGCUACCUCCAGCUAAUGGUUUGUGUACUCUUAAACUUAGACUGAAGACAGUAAGGGAAAGAAAUAUUUUCAAUGAGGGGUUGGAGGUGGAGUGGGGGGGUAUGUAAGUAUAGAGAGAAAUUAACAACUUAAAAUUUUAGAGCCGUGUAUACAUUGGGGUUGUCCAAUAUAUCUCCUGUGUCCAGUGUAUCAUACUCUGCACUGUGAUUAAGAAUUCAGGCAAAUCCUCAAAAUUGUGGCAUUGACCUCAUGUGGUUUAUGUCUUGAGAGUCAAGGCUAAGAUAUUGAAGGCACCAUAUUUCUAAAUAAUAAUAAUAAUAAUUAUAACAAUUAGUUCAGUGUAUAAGGCUGGGAUAAGAGCAAUCAUUUCUCAUAAUUGUAAAUAAGGUAAAUUCACACACUGAACAAGUACUCAAGAAGAGAACUCUUUUUUAUCAGUUACCUGCUCUUUAUAGACAGCUUGGUUAUUGUGUGCCUAUUUCUUCUCCUCCAGCUCCCCGCCUUCCCCCGCUGCUACCCACUAUGACAGUUACUUUAGAAAUAAGUGACUUGGUUCCUGGAUGGAUUUCCAGCCCUUCUGCAUGACACAGGUUCCAAAUGUCAAAUUGCAACUAUGGAGAAGCCUGUGAACUAUGAUAAUGGAUAAACUCGUGUGUGUUAACAGUCCUGUUUGGUGCUAGAGCAGGGUUGCCAAGACAUAGUCUGAAUGAGUUGGGGGUUUCUGAGAUCUUGUAAAAUGAGGCCAAUUUGAAAUGUUGGCACUGAAUGCUGAGCUUUUUAUAAUAGCCCACGUUGUCCCAUUUUCUUCUAGAGUUGAAUAGGAACAAAAUACCUGGCUUCAUGCAGUGGUUCUCUGAUGACAAAUGAACUAAUUAGAGGUGGUGUUUCUUAGUUCAUCCCAAAGAUCUUAGCCUAGCCGUGGAAGAUGUGGGAAAUGCAGGCUCUGAUAGCUUUAGUUUUAGAAAAGACAACUUUUAACAUCUGAAACUGUCUCCCCUAGCUCUCUACUAUCUGAUCCCCUCUAGCAUUUUCUUUGUAUAGAUGGGUCCAGGUAGGCUAAGGGUAACUGUACUAUUUAAUACAUUAACUCAAUGACAGAGCAAAUCUAUUAAACAGAUUACCUUUCACCUUUGGUGUGUAAAGAAGUCUUCGUAUGCCAAGGUCAUGAGGCCUCUUAGCAAAGUUCCUGUGAGAGAAAUUAACAUUUUUAUCACAUAAUCUAAUCUAUCAAGUGGAGUAGAUUCCAAGGUAAGUCCAUCUAGUACUGCUUUUUUUUUUUUCCUUUAAAAAAGGCCAGCAGUGAAAGAAGUCAUUGAAUUAAAAGUGCUAUAUGAAAAAUAAAAGGGGAGAGAAUACAGAUAAGGAAGGUUUACAUCUUCAUGCUCUUGUAGGAUAUGGCAGUAUUUGUAGGUGGCAGAUUGUAGAGAGAAGGCCAUAAAGGCAACUACAGUGACAUUGAGGCAGAGAAAAAGCUUGCUGGAGAUUAUGGGUUCCUGUUACUUAUGAUCAGAUGCCUUUCAGUUACUUUUGAGGUGAAGGAUUUAUACACUGCAGAAAUCCUGAUCACAUUGAUGGGAAUGAUGUGGGACUUCAAAGGAUAGGUUUUGAAGUUGUUGGACAUUUAGUUUCAGAUUUCCAUCUCCAAAACUCAAAUCUGAAUUGCUCAUUGGUUCAGAGAGGAAAAUGCUUAAUUUGAAAUUCUGUCAUAAACUCUGUGAGAGCAGACAAACUUAGAUGAGCUUAGAAAUAGCUUUGAAUCCCAAAUCUCAAUACCGUUAUACUACUUGAUUAUAGAAGAAAACGGGACCACCUGUCUCUAACAAGGAGAGACGCCUAUUGGAAAUAUCUCAGCAUGUGCGUUCUCAGCCCAUCAUAGAGAACAUGACAUUUAAGCCGUAUGGAUAGUUCUGGUCUCAUGUCAUCUAAACAUCACAUUUUUCAAACUCAGAAAUGCCAGAUCGUGUUAUUUCUGCGGCAAGGCGUUGCUUAGGAUCUGUGACAGAUGAGUUUUCCCUAUCGAUUAUGUGACAAUGCAGUUCAUUUAUAGAGUUCAAGGAAAUGAGAACAGCCUCCAGUUUAACAAGAAGACCCUUAAUUCAAGGGCUGUGUUGUAUUUAAAUGCAGAAAUCAAAAUUCAAGUUGGAGAAAGUGGAAGAGUGAAUUUAACUGUGAACGCGAACUUUUAUAGCUCAGUCAUCCUCCUUGGAGGGCUGCAACUGAUCACUGAAUCUGAUGCCUUCUGAUUAGGUGACUGAUUUGUAAAUAAACCAUGCAAGAAAUCAUAUCUUACAUAGAGAAUUCAUCUUUACAUCAAUGUACACAUUUAAAGUUGCUCCUAAUGUAAAACAUGUAGUGAAUCCAAAAUGUAAAAAACAAAGGGCACCCUAGCGAGUCUAUGUGCAUAUGGGGAGGAGGGGCUGUUAAUAGAGAUACCAACCUGAAAACACUUUGAAAGAACUUUCCAGAUUUAUCUUAAAUUCUGAAAUGAUUUAAUAUGCACAUGUUCUUCCAAUGUAUCCACAGGGUACAGACAGGCAUGCAGAAGUAACUAGACGUCCAACACAUGCCAAGGUCUUGCGGGCCCAGGAUUUCGAACAAAAGAAAACUCGGUAACGUGACUGUAAAUCAAGGGCAUUUGAGACCAUAGACGCGCGCACCACUGCAAGGGUUAAUUGGAGGAGAGGGAAGAGAGAGGCUCCACCUUGCAGUCUGUGUGAACUUCGGCCAGAAAAAGAGCUGGAGCUCCAGCCGCCGCCGGUGGGAGCCCUGCAGUCCGCGGCACGCGGUCCCUUGUUGUGGGGCAGGUGUGGCGCCGGGUAGAGGCGGGGCGCAACCUGGAAACUGCCGCCUGAGCUGUGGCCCGCGCCCUGCCUACCCUUUGGCGCAUCUGUUUCUUUAUUGCCUGAAAGCCAUCCGACGCGUUGAAGGCGCGAUUAUCGACAAUUUGUCAGCCCGAUUUUGUCGCUUGCAAUAACUUUUGGUGAAGUUUCACUCUCAGGCCCUUGAGUUUCGGGAUGAGGAAAUGUGGUAUGAGAGCAUUGUCCUGUGUUUGGCUUCUCAUUUCCACAGGACCCAGGCAGGCAGAAGAAGGGAAAAGAAAGUUAAUCCGACUGCAGUCACUCUGGCACACAAGCCAUGGGGAAACGGGAGAGAAACUUGUUCCUUCUCCUACAAAACUCUCCCCUUCCCCCUCAAGCCCCUCCCCCCACCAGGUCCUUUUUAAUAGAUCAGUCCCUCAUCUCCCCCCCCCUCCACACACGUAUUCUUGGGCCCACAAUUCUCUUGAGCAACCUAGGACUGAGUUUUUGUGUUUUGUUUGUUUUGCUUGCUUUUUCCUUUGUGUUUGUGGAUGUGGAUUGUUUUUCAGGGACCAGGGGCCAGGACCGCAGCUCUAAACCUGAACCCUUCACCUUCAUGAUCCCUUUCUUCCCCUCUUCUUGAUUGGUGGCUGUCGUGGCCAAGACCAUGCCCUUUCCUGAGCAUGGAGCAGUGGGGCAGCUGCUCUGAAGCAGCUGCUGUGCCUUACCCCUCUUUUCUCAAUCAUUAAAAUUCAAUUUCAAAAUUUCUGUCUUUAACAAUUUCCUAAGGAGACUAUGAAGAAUGCCAAAAGAGUGGGCCUUUUUUCAAGUGGUCAUGUUUCAGCAAAAGGCAGGCACAGUCCAAGUUGCCCUAGGUUGUGCCCUUAUAGGAGCAGGGCAGUGGAUGUUGUGUAAAAUGGAGUGCUGUGCCCACCUUGAACGAGAGACGAGCUCUGGCAGGUCAAGAACCUGGGGAGAGCAACUCCAGCUUUUCCAUCCACAUCACCCCUGCAGCUUGAUGGAGCACAGCACCAAGCAGGAAGUUCUCAUUUUUUUUUUUUUUUUUAAUGUCCACACCCAUGACAUACAGAAGUUUCUGGCCCAGGGAUUGAAUCUAAGUUUCAGCUAUGACCUAUGUGGCAGCUAUAGCAAUGCCAGAUCCCUUAACCCGCUGCACCAAGCUGGGGAUCAAACCCUCACCUCUGCAGCAACCCAAGCUGCUGCAGUUAGAUUUUUAACCCACUGCACCACAGCUGGAACUCUGGGGAAGUUCUCUUUAAUAGUUCCUCACUUUCUUCCUUGAUCCAAAAAGAAAAAUAUUUGUAUUCGGAAAGUUCUCUUCUGCUAAGAAGUUUCUAUUAACAUCUCUUUCUCCUUUCAGUGAAGUCUGUUUCUGGGUCAAGGGGAGUGUUUUAAGAAACAGAAAAAUAGAGACACACACAUAACUGCAAUAGGUAGCUGAACUUCAUCAGGAGCCUUGAGUAGCCAAGAAAACAUUCUUCUGAUGCAACUUCAGAGUUUCAUCCCCUGCUCCAAAAUUUAUCAUGUAAUUAGUACCCAAAAUGCCUCCUUUAACCAACACCCAUUGCAACCUAUGGAAAAGAUGUAGCAUUUUUUUUUUGAAAUUCUAGAUGGACCUAAGGAUUACCUGACUCCUAUUGCCAUCACCUCUUAAUCACACAAAACUGUUUUCCUAAACACCAACCUUUUUCCCUAUAAAAACCACUGACCCCUCAGUAUACCUAGUACCUUUUUUCCUCCCUUUAAAUUAUUAUUCCUUACUCUUUUCCGUUCUGGGGCCCUGAGCCAGAUUCUCAGAAUUAAUCCUGAGUUCUCCCAAAUGCCAUGACAAGUUAGAAGGGAAAUUGGGGGACUGCACUGAAAAUACAUGGUAUAGAGAGUAAAUGUUACAGCUGUUGACAAGUGGCAGUUUGGGGUAUCAGCAAUGAAUUCCACAUUUUUCUAUAGGCUUCUUUUUACUUCACUUUAGGAUCCACUGAUCCUAAUAGAAACAAGUUAAAACUGCAGUUCCCUUCGUGGCGCAGUGGUUAACGAAUCCGACUAGUAACCAUGAGGUUGUGGGUUUGAUCCCUGGCCUUGCUCAGUGGGUUAAGGAUCCGGCGUUGCUGUGAGCUGUGGUGUAGGCCGGUGGCUGCAGCUCCGAUUAGACCCCUAGCUUGGGAAUCUCCAUAUGCCCCUGGAGCAGCCAUAGAAAAGGCAAAAAGAC
rnacentral:lncRNA from 1 species